UAGAAAAUGAUCCCUAUUCAGUUUUGGAUUCGAAUCAUAAAAGCUAAAUCUUAAUUCUAAGCCACUUGGAAAAGCCCAAACAAUAAAACCCAAAACUCAAUCUUUCCCUUUUUCCUACUUCACGUAAAAAAAAAAAACAAAACUCAAAACCAAAACCCUUGCAAAACUCACGUGAACUCUCAAAGCCUCAAGAUCUUGCUUCUCUUCACGUCACUGCCGUCAUUGUUGCUUCCCAGCCGCCGGAGCACCGCCGUGUUCUCGCCGCCGCCGCCGCGGCCCAGCCGCGACCUUCAAACCAGCUCCACCGUCGCUUCUCCUACCACCACCAUCCUUGUUGUGUUGUGCCGCCCUCCUGCUGCAGCGCCACUGCACUGGCCGUCGGCUUCUUCUUCUUUUUCGUUUCUCUUUGCUUGCUCCUCUCGCACGCACCACCACUAGCACGCGCCGCCCAGGCUUCUCUCGACCACCUGCGCCGCCGUCGCGCUGCCUCCGCGACCACCUGUUCAUGCUGUCGUGCAGUCCGCCGCCGGCCAGCUCCUUAUCUCCCUCUUUGGUGGAGAAUUCUCCGUAGGCGACUUUUGAAUUAUUAAAGUGGUCUCGCAGUUUGUUUACACAAGUCUCUAAGGAUCAAUAAGCAUUGUCCAUCUGCAGGUUUGAAGAUGUUGCAUCAUUGGGAUCGGGAAUAGAGAGCUUGUAUUUAGUUUUGAUUUGCUAAGUUAACUUGGGUUUGUUAAUUGAGACUUUAAACUUGUCGUACUAUUUAUAUUUCCUUAUUUUCGUUGGAUGAUUUUUGGGAUUAAACCUGUAA